rnacentral:rRNA from 1 species
AUUGAACGCUGGCGGCAUGCCUUACACAUGCAAGUCGAACGGCAGCACGGGGCAACCUGGUGGCGAGUGGCGAACGGGUGAGUAAUGCAUCGGAACGUACCUUUCAGUGGGGGAUAACGUAGCGAAAGUUACGCUAAUACCGCAUAUUCUGUGAGCAGGAAAGCAGGGGAUCGCAAGACCUUGCGCUGAUUGAGCGGCCGAUGUCAGAUUAGCUAGUUGGUGAGGUAAAGGCUCACCAAGGCGACGAUCUGUAGCGGGUCUGAGAGGAUGAUCCGCCAAACUGGAACUGGGACACGGUCCAGACUCCUACGGGAGGCAGCAGUGGGGAAUUUUGGACAAUGGGGGCAACCCUGAUCCAGCCAUGCCGCGUGAGUGAAGAAGGCCUUCGGGUUGUAAAGCUCUUUCGGCCGGGAAGAAAUCGCACGGGCUAAUACCCUGUGUGGAUGACGGUACCGGAAUAAGAAGCACCGGCUAACUACGUGCCAGCAGCCGCCGUAA